AAAUAUGAACCAAUCAAAUUAAAUAAAAAAUUAAAUAAUUAAAUAAAUAAAUAAGGAUAAUUUAAUCAUUUGUUUAAUAACUUCCAAAAAUAAUCCCUAUUGUCUCCAAAAAUAAUCCCUUUAUCUAAAAACAGAUUUUGAAAACCCUAAAUUGAACAAAUUGACGCCAGCGACUUUGUGGGUUGCCUUUCAUCGUCUUCUUCAUAGAGCGGUACCAUGCCCAAACGCGAUUUCUGCGGUUUUUUUUUCAAUAAGAACCGAUUUCUACAAAGGGCAUUUCCGGGACAUUUCGAUCGAUCGCAAGGGGGGCUGAGAAAGCGACUUCGGUCCUCGUCUUGGCAUCAUCAGGUCAAAAGAACAUCGAUUAAAGGAGGUCAUGUGGUGGUGAAAACUGAGCAACGAUUGGGGAAACCGAAGGUAGUUUAUGCCACCGGCGAUCGUCGCAACUAGGGGCUUCUUCAUCAGCUUCCUAAUUGAUUUCACAACCAGCAAUCACCGAGCCACCAUCGCCAUCCAUCACCAUCGUCUUUGCAAUUGCCGUCACAACAAAACGUGAUUCGAUUUUACAACCACUAGUAACCAGACACAUAAAAGUGAUUUGCAAGGCUUUAAGCCAGCAAGUAUACUUCACAGAAUCGAUCUUCAAGAAUUCCGCAACAACACAAAAAUUGAUGAUCUAGUACGCUGUCCUUUAAUACGCUUGACAUAUUUUGGCAAUUUUUAUUUUCUUUAUUGUAGACAUCAUUUAUUUAUAUGGUUUUCCAUAUGGAGGAAAUAGACUCAUGGUUGAAGGGAAUGGUUCUGCCAAAGCAAUCAUAAUUAGCCAAUUCACAAACUUUCUUGAACUAUUCUUUGCAAAAGGUAAUAUUAUGUGUUUCAGUUAAGCUAUUUCUUUUGAUACUUUAUGCAAAAAUGAUGCUUUAUAAGCUUAUGGCACCAAAAGAUGUAUUUGAAAAUAUAAAAUGUGGUGCAUGUUUGACACUUAGAUUCAAACAUUGAAUGGUGGAAAUUUGCAGAGUAGCGUGUCAUGUAUUUAAUUCUAUUUAAGUUGGAUUGAUUAUCUUGUCCUUUAUUUGCUGCUUCUCAAUAGGAAACUGGUAUACCCGUUAUAACAUUAUUUCAAUCUUCUAAUGCUGGACAAAUUACAAAUAUUUUUCAUAUGAUAUCGGGUAUCCCAAAAGUUUACUUGGAUAUUUUUUGACAGAUUUAUGCAUGUUCUACUGAUUUAUUUGGAUACUUUUCCAACAGAAUGCAUACAAUAAUUGAAUCUUGAAUUCCAACUCUAUCGGAAUGGAAUCACGAAUUCCAAUUCUGUUGGAAUGGAAUAUGAAUAUUUUCUCACUGAUUUAUGCAUGUUCUACAAUGAUUGGUUAUUGGUUUUGGUGCAAUUCACAAGUCCACAUAUUUUUCCAAAGGAAUUUUGUUUUUUAUUUUUUAUUUGCUAAUACGUUAUUGGAUUCUAAACUACAAUUGAAUUUGUUUUCACAGAAGUUGAUGCUUGAAGAACGGACAAAAAAAUUGAAAAUGUUUCUUAGCAACAUUAUUCUUUUAGAAUGAAUUAGUGUAUUUGUUAGAUUUUGAUGUUUUUUUUCCCGAUUUGAAAGUUUUUUAGUUUUAUGCUGUAAAAAUAAAUGUAAUUCUUAGCAAUUGUUACACGUAUUCUAUAAGAAUUAAUGUAAUUUUUGUUUUAAUUCUUCAAUUGAUGGUUCGAGAAUUUUGUUAUUCUACAAGAAAUUUUUAAAGUCCUGAUCAAAAAAUAUGUUCAAGAAUAUUUUUAUUAUUUUAUGGUUCAAGAAUAUUUUUAUUUUUGAACAUACUCAAACAUAUUCUAUCAGAAUGUACAAACUAAAAACCUUAUAAUUUGUAAAAUCGGAUUUUAAAAAUUAAUAGAAUCUUUGAUCCCUUAAAAUAUGCAAAUUUCCUUUAUUAAAUUUAUGUUAACCGACUAAAAUAGCCUUCUAGUUAAAUUAGAUGGUAUUUUUCAAUCAUAUUUAAUUAAAUAAUAUGUAUUAAUCACUUUUUUAAAAUAAGUAAAAUGAUUGGCCCACAUUUAUGCAUACAAUAACACAAUAAUUACUUU
rnacentral:lncRNA from 1 species